rnacentral:rRNA from 1 species
UUAGGAAUCUUGCGCAAUGGGCGAAAGCCUGACGCAGCGACGCCGCGUGAGGGAUGAAGGCCUUCGGGUUGUAAACCUCUUUUAGGUGGGAUGAAACAAAUGACAGUACCACCUGAAUAAGCCCCGGCUAACUCCGUGCCAGCAGCCGCGGUAAUACGGAGGGGGCGAGCGUUGUCCGAAGUUACUGGGCGUAAAGCGCGUGUAGGCGGGUUGCCAAGUCUGUCGUGAAAGCCCGGUGCUUAACGCCGGAGGGUCGGUGGAUACUGGCAGUCUUGAAGUGGCUAGGGGGAGAUGGAAUUACCGGUGUAGCGGUGAAAUGCGUAGAUAUCGGUAGGAACACCAGUGGCGAAGGCGGUCUCCUGGAGCUUGCUUGACGCUGAGACGCGAAAGCUGGGGGAGCGAACGGGAUUAGAUACCCCCGUAGUCC